AAUGUGUGUUAUGUUUCAUUGCAUUGGAUUUCUCGAUUAUUUUGACCAAACUUCACUGAAUAAUUAAAUAAACACAACUUUAUAAAUUCAUAAAUUAAGGAACAAGAUAAAGGUUUAAACUCCAUUUGUUAUUUAAAAAAACCGUUGAAACACAUAUCGAUCAUAUUGAUAUCGAGCCACCGUCGUAUUAGCUUUACACCUGUGAAUAAUUUCACUACCGGUAAAAAAAAAAGGUAAAAAAAAAAUCUAAUAUGACUUUACAACCAGUUAAAUGAUUACGGUGCAUUUACUAACUUUCUAGAAAGCUCGACACUUUAUUAACAACUUUAUUAUUCCGUCGAAAGUUACCUUCGGAAAUGAAGGUUCCAGCAGUAGUUCAGCGCCAUAAAAAAUACACAGGAAUAGACAUAAAAAUAAAGUAGAACCGAACAAGAAUAGUCUUAGUUUAGUGUUGAUACCGCACUUCGAUAUAAAUACUACAAACACUGCCUAGUUUCAAGUUUCAGCAUUUUUAAAAAUGAUUACGAGUAAAAACCCUAUCGUAGAUUAUUCUAGAAAAAAAAAAAAUUGGGUCAGAAAUAAAUUCAUCAUCUUACCACGGGUAGUCAGUGUUGACUGGUCGUCGACUUCCUGUCCACAGUUGUGACCGACUGUAAUACACUGGAGUGCACACAUACGCCCUCUAGCGCCGGCAAUCGCAGUAAACUGGCCCUUUAAGAGGGAUAAAGACGACAGCACCGCUCAAUCCCAGCGCAUCGAUGCCGCGAUUUACGUUUUAUUCACAGCGUCGCUGUGGACUCCGGCGUCAGAGAUAAUUCCCCCAUUAUUUAUUUUCCCAGUGGUUUUUUAAAGAUUUAUUCGUACGAUGUUUACGUGAUUGUUUUCAUUCUGUGGCGCGUCGUCCCGCUGCUUUGCUCUGUGCUCCGUAAUUAUUCCGCCUGAGCUGCAGGUCUGAACCGGUCCAGUAUCUCCGAUCUCCGAAGUUUUUGGACUUCCUACCUUUGUUGUUCCAUGACAUCCUGUGUACCGUUGUGACGGUGACCACUCCCUGGCCUUGCUGCCGACAGGAGCGUGAAUAAAUCAUGGAAGACAAACGCAAGAAGCGCAGCCCCAAGGUGUCCCUCCCGCAACCUCCUCCUCCCCCCAUCAACCCCCGCAAGCUCACUGUCAUGCCGUCCAGCAAAAGCGCCACCUUCUCCCUGGGCCUGCCGCAGCCGCCGUCGCCCAAGAACAGAAGCAAGUACAAGAGGUCCGUAGGCGCUCCAGGACUGCCCAGAGAGGUGUUCGCGGCCGUCGUAGCCCCACCAAAGACCACCAGACCUCACAAAGAGAAACCUAGAGCACCUCAGCCCGCGGGCCCCAGUAAAGUGGUCCAGUCUUCCCCUCUGCAGCACUCCUUCCUCACAGAUGUCUCAGAUGUGAGGGAGAUGGAGGGCGGGCUCCUCAACCUCCUCAACGACUUCCACUCAGGCAAACUCCAAGCUUUCGGGAAGGUGUGCUCGUUUGAGCAGCUGGAACACGUGCGUGAGAUGCAGGAGAAACUGGCGCGGCUGCACUUCAGCCUGGACAGCCACGUGGAGGAGCUCUCUGAGGACCAGAGGAAAUGUGUCUCUGACCACAACCUGGAGCACCUGCUCAGCAACCUGGAGGAACUCAGCACCUCAAUACAAAAACUCCACCUAGCUGAGAACCAGGACCUGACCAAGACGCCGGCCCCCUGACGGAUCGGUGUUGAGGCGGCCGCAGAACCGAACCGACCUCCAUCUCCCUACAGCUGACCAGUGGCCGAACGGCAGCACAGCAGUUAGUGAGCACCAUCACUGUCCGAUGAGUCAGUGAUUCCCAACCUCUGUGCCGCGGCACAUUAGUGUGUCGUGAGAGACCGCCAGGUGUGCCCUGCAAAAUGAUCCAAUUUCACUUAAUUGGUCUAAAAACGUGUAAUUUAAUUACUCUAAAUAUUUUAUUUAUUGUCUAUGCUACGAUCACAGGCAGGAAAAUCUAAUACUUUUCCAUCAGGUGGCAGCAGAUGGCCAUGAAAACUGAAAAGACAGAUUCAGCUGUUUGAAAAAGAUCUUAGUGUCUUUCUUCAAUUCCUGCGGAUAUCACAGCGUUGUGUUCAACUAAACAGGCCCAGGUUUCACAUUGUUUAAGUAAAUUGUGAGUAAAUUAAAGAAAGGUUGUUGUAUUUAAUAAGAUAAACCAACGUAAAAUGAAAUGCGCCCCCCCCACCCCCCCAUCGAAAUACCAUUAAGGGCCUGGUAAUAUUUAUCUAUAUAU